GUCUCCCUUCUCCUUUGGACUCAGCCACUGUGUUGUGAGGAAGCCUAGGCCACAUGGAGAGGCCACAUAGAUGUGUUCCAGGCAGCAGCCCCAGCAAAGGUCUCAAUCAACCACCAUAUGUGUGAGUGAUGGAACCUUCAGAUAAUUUUGCUUCCCAGACUUCAAGUCUUCCAGCUGGGGUCCAAGACAUAACAAGGCAGAGACAAGCCCUCCUGGAAUUCCCUACCCACAGAAACUUGAAAGCAGUGUAAAUGGCUCUUAUCUGAACCACAAUGAAUUCACAUAUUCAAGUUGGCUUCUUCGGAAAUUUCAGGCCACAAAUGGCAGUGAUGCGACCAGGAGCAGUAACACGAUUACAAGUCGCAAUUUAGGAAGGGUGCUCCAUCAUCAUUUCAUGAUUCUCACUACAGCCCAGACAGGCGGGCAGAGCAGUGUUCUUUCCCCGUUAAUAAAUGAAGAAGCUGAGCCUCAAACAGAUGAGGGGGCUUCCUGGGUUCACACAGCUCUAAAGUGCCACUUCCAUCUGGACAGAAGGAAUCCAGGUCAAGGCUGACGGGAGGAGCAGGAGCCAUUAAUGAGAGCAGACCUCAGAAGCCAACAGAGGUGAGAGGAGCACCAUCCACAGCCCCAUCCUCUGAAUGCUGUGGGAAGAAGUCCACAAAAUACCACCCCUUGGAGUGAGUCAGUAGCAGAGCCCUUGCUGCUGUCUGCAAAUACCCCAUCAAAACAUGUUUGGGGUGAUUCUGGGACCUGGUUUCAAUUUCUUUUCUGCCAGUCAGCAGUUGUGCUUGACUCACAAUUUGUUGCCAUCUCUUGAAUUAAACUCAGGAAAUAGGAUAAAGAUCAGAACCACAUUGUAAAAGCUUCCUUAUGGUUCCUUUUUUGCUAAGAUAAAUAAUGAGCAGCUCUGAUCCACCUCUCUGGAGAGCUCAGAGCACACUACCAGGAGCUCCUAGCCACAGAGUGAGCACAGGUGGCUGGUGUUCUCUUGAUGAGGAAAGACAGCAGUGUCCAAUCUACUCUGCCUUGCACGGAGCCCCAGGUGCUCUCCCGGACUGUGUUGCUACCUAAAGCACAUGGCAAUUGCAUGAUGCUAACCAGAGCAGCCCCCUCACUCAUUAGAAACAUCUGCUUUCCAUUAUUUACACAGGAAAAGUUUUCCUUUUUACUGAGCCUACCCAGUUCAAACUUAAGUGGGAUUUGCCAGCUAUCUGGCUAAUUUUAUGAACAAUAAUAAAGAUUGGUGAACACUUGG